rnacentral:rRNA from 1 species
GAUGAACGUUGGCGGUGUGCCUAAUACAUACAAGUCGAACGGAGUUAGUAGCAAUACUGGCUCAGUGGCGAACGGGUGAGUAACGCGUUGGUGAUCUGCCUUGAAGUGUGGAAUAACGUUUCGAAAGGAACGCUAAUACCGCAUGUGCUCUCGAUUUUCAGAAAGUUGAGAGUAAAGGAUUUAUUCGCUUCAAGAGGAGCCUGCGUCCCAUCAGCUGGUUGGUAGGGUAACGGCCUACCAAGGCUAUGACGGGUAGGGGACCUGAGAGGGUGGCCCCCCACAAUGGAACUGAAACACGGUCCAUACACCUACGGGUGGCAGCAGUAGGGAAUAUUAGAAAUGGACGAAAGUCUGAUCUAGCAACACCGCGUGUGCGAAGAAGGCCUUCGGGUCGUAAAGCACUUUUUGGAAGGAAUAGGAAGGAAUGUACUUCCAGAAUAAGUCUCGGCUAACUACGUGCCAGCAGCCGCGGUAA